CAGUCGAACGAAGCUUGACGGAUGAUUUCUUCGGAAUGAAACCAGAUAUGACUUAGUGGCGGACGGGUGAGUAACACGUGAGCAACCUGCCUUUCAGAGGGGGAUAACGGCUGGAAACGGUCGCUAAUACCGCAUGACGUGUUCGGACGGCAUCAUCUGAACAUCAAAGAUUUAUCGCUGAAAGAUGGGCUCGCGUCUGAUUAGAUAGUUGGUGGGGUAACGGCCUACCAAGUCUACGAUCAGUAGCCGGACUGAGAGGUUGAACGGCCACAUUGGGACUGAGAUACGGCCCAGACUCCUACGGGAGGCAGCAGUGGGGAAUAUUGCACAAUGGGGGAAACCCUGAUGCAGCAACGCCGCGUGAAGGAUGACGGUUUUCGGAUUGUAAACUUCUUUUCUUAGUGACGAAGACAGUGACGGUAGCUAAGGAAUAAGCAUCGGCUAACUACGUGCCAGCAGCCGCGGUAAUACGUAGGAUGCAAGCGUUAUCCGGAUUUACUGGGUGUAAAGGGAGCGCAGGCGGGACUGCAAGUUGGAUGUGAAAUACCGUGGCUUAACCACGGAACUGCAUCCAAAACUGUAGUUCUUGAGUGAAGUAGAGGCAAGCGGAAUUCCGAGUGUAGCGGUGAAAUGCGUAGAUAUUCGGAGGAACACCAGUGGCGAAGGCGGCUUGCUGGGCUUUAACUGACGCUGAGGCUCGAAAGUGUGGGGAGCAAACAGGAUUAGAUACCCUGGUAGUCCACACUGUAAACGAUGAUAGC
rnacentral:rRNA from 1 species